CGGCCACAUCAGAUAAAAAACACCGGUUCCAUACGAUCACUGAAGUGAAGCAACGUUGAGCCUAGUCAGUAACUAGAUGGGUGACCCCAUGGGAAUACCAG